rnacentral:rRNA from 1 species
GACGAACGCUUGCGGCGUGCUUAACACAUGCAAGUCGAACGGAAAGGCCCUGCUUUUGUGGGGUGCUCGAGUGGCGAACGGGUGAGUAACACGUGAGUAACCUGCCCUUGACUUUGGGAUAACUUCAGGAAACUGGGGCUAAUACCGGAUAGGAGCUCCUGCUGCAUGGUGGGGGUUGGAAAGUUUCGGCGGUUGGGGAUGGACUCGCGGCUUAUCAGCUUGUUGGUGGGGUAGUGGCUUACCAAGGCUUUGACGGGUAGCCGGCCUGAGAGGGUGACCGGCCACAUUGGGACUGAGAUACGGCCCAGACUCCUACGGGAGGCAGCAGUGGGGAAUAUUGCACAAUGGGCGGAAGCCUGAUGCAGCAACGCCGCGUGCGGGAUGACGGCCUUCGGGUUGUAAACCGCUUUCGCCUGUGACGAAGCGUGAGUGACGGUAAUGGGUAAAGAAGCACCGGCUAACUACGUGCCAGCAGCCGCGGUGAUACGUAGGGUGCGAGCGUUGUCCGGAUUUAUUGGGCGUAAAGGGCUCGUAGGUGGUUGAUCGCGUCGGAAGUGUAAUCUUGGGGCUUAACCCUGAGCGUGCUUUCGAUACGGGUUGACUUGAGGAAGGUAGGGGAGAAUGGAAUUCCUGGUGGAGCGGUGGAAUGCGCAGAUAUCAGGAGGAACACCAGUGGCGAAGGCGGUUCUCUGGGCCUUUCCUGACGCUGAGGAGCGAAAGCGUGGGGAGCGAACAGGCUUAGAUACCCUGGUAGUCCACGCUGUAAACGGUGGGUACUAGGUGUGGGGUCCAUUCCACGGGUUCCGUGCCGUAGCUAACGCUUUAAGUACCCCGCCUGGGGAGUACGGCCGCAAGGCUAAAACUCAAAGGAAUUGACGGGGCCCCGCACAAGCGGCGGAGCAUGCGGAUUAAUUCGAUGCAACGCGUAGAACCUUACCUGGGUUUGACAUGGAUCGGGAGCGCUCAGAGAUGGGUGUGCCUCUUUUGGGGUCGGUUCACAGGUGGUGCAUGGCUGUCGUCAGCUCGUGUCGUGAGAUGUUGGGUUAAGUCCCGCAACGAGCGCAACCCUUGUUCACUGUUGCCAGCACGUUAUGGUGGGGACUCAGUGGAGACCGCCGGGGUCAACUCGGAGGAAGGUGGGGAUGACGUCAAGUCGUCAUGCCCCUUAUGUCCAGGGCUUCACGCAUGCUACAAUGGCUGGUACAGAGAGUGGCGAGCCUGUGAGGGUGAGCGAAUCUCGGAAAGCCGGUCUCAGUUCGGAUUGGGGUCUGCAACUCGACCUCAUGAAGUCGGAGUCGCUAGUAAUCGCAGAUCAGCAACGCUGCGGUGAAUACGUUCCCGGGGCU